rnacentral:lncRNA from 1 species
GAACAUGAAUCCCAUCCUUCCUUCGGCUAUUAUGAAUGGUAGCGGGUUAAUUAGCACAACAUUAUCUACUAACGAUAAUUAUGUCUAUGUCGAGCUCACUGUCUGUCAUUGUUGUCUCUUGUUACACCAUGGUUGCUACAGGAUAAGUUGCGGGACCUUUUUGGUUUGUAAGCCAGGCUGAUUACCAGACAUUUUUGCAAAACUAACAAUGUUCUAACUUCUCUUACACUCCAUGAUUAGGCAAACAGAGCUUUCUAUACGCCUCCCUUCCUCUCCAGAACAGCUAGAAGCCUCGUUUGUAGGAACUCUUCUUGUUUUUUUUCCCCUCCUUCAUGGCAGGGGAAUGGCCAGUAAGAAUAUAGUCUCAUAUAUAAAGCGUUGAAUCGUCAUAUUAAAGCCUGAGAUAAUAUGCAUGAAUCCCAGAGAAAAUAGAAUUUUUAACACUGACAUCUCGAUCCGUUCUAAAAUUCUUAAUGAUUGUGCCGAAAAGUAAGUUAAUUUAUAUCUUUAACACCUGAAAUGGUUUGGUGCCAAUAUGUUAAAAGAGAUCGCAUCUCUAUUUUUUAGACAUCUGGUAAGUUCAUAAUUUCUUCUUCCAAAGUAUAAUCUAUCUCCUUUCUGCUAUUCUAUUUUAUUUUGAUGAAAUUGAUAUAAAGACAAAUUAAAAUUCAUCCUAAGAACAAAGCAAACUCUCAUUCAAGGAUUGUGUACGGGGGCGGGUAAAAAGAUAAGGUGGAUAUAAGUCUUACCCAUGAACAAGAUAAAGUGAGUUGCCUUUUCUUUGAAUUUUUAAUUUGGUUUUGUAUAUUCUUGUUAUUUGUUAAAGAAUUUUAGCAUUUACAAGAACUGGGUCUUGAUAAUUUGAGAUGGCCUUUAGGUAACGGUAAAUUAUAUUCAUUGGAUUCCCCGAAAGGAAGGCUGGGUAAAGUUGAAUACAGAUGGUGCUGGUAGGCGGCAGAAUACAGGCUUGAGACGGGGUAGAACCGGUUGCGAGGCGGGGCUUCUGGAGGGAGGUGGAUUCUCAAUCAGUAAUGCAUGUCAUCACAGAUAGCAGAGACAGCAAAGGUCCUUGUGACAGGUUAUUAUUUCGUUGAGUUGCUGUCCCCUUCUGUUACUCUCUGUGUCUGACUUCUCUUUCCUUGUUAGUUAAGACUUCCAAAUUUGAACAAAUUUACAAGCAAAAACAAACUGAGGUGCAAUAACCUGUAAACAUUGAGAUAGUACCUGCACUAGGAGAACCCUUUUUUUUUUUUUUUUCCUAAAACAACAAGGUGGGCAAUUUCCCUGAAAGGCCUUCGCCACUGUUCCUCUACCAAAUGUUAUAUUGGUUUUCCCUGCUCAGAAACUUAUCAUGGAUGUGCAUUAGCAGUUCUACGUUGACCAAAAAAUUGCACUCGCUAUUAUAACAACAAAAGGAAUUACAACGACAAUGUCAACAUUCUUCUUCUUCUUCUUUUUCCAAUUAUUAUCUGUGACCAGAAAUCCAGUCGACACCAUUUUCUGAGGUUGAAAACGGAAAUGAUGAAAAAAACAACGAUGUAUUGUAAUUGGGUGACCAAAAGAAGCUCUACCUGGAUGGUGUCCAGGCAUAGAUGAGCAACCCCAAAACAAGGACGAUGGCUCCUGCUACAAAGCCAGUUGGAAGGGAGGAUGCGACUCCAAGAUAUGGC